rnacentral:lncRNA from 1 species
AGGUCAAAUAGAGGUAACUUUGUAACAACAAUCUGCCACUGCAAAAUUACUGACAUUUCCAACUAAAUUAUAUUCUCUAAAUUGUUGCCUUAAUGCUAAAUAAAUAAAGUUAUGCUAAUGUAGGGACUGAUUACAGAUUGAAAUUAGCACAAUUGCUUGUUAUACAGUCUGCUAGGGUUAACGUUUUUUAAAAACAUAAUUAAUGGCCUUUGCUUACUGUCUCUGGUUAUAGAUCCUGCAGCUCAUUUGCAUUCUUUUGCAAUAUGCUGACAGUGCUAAAUGUCUCAGAAGAAAGAUCUCAUCUGGAGGCGGAAAAUGCGUUUUGCACGUCAUCCAGCUAACACUUGUUAUGGUUCCAGGCCAGCGUUAAUAACAAAGAUGACCAGAAAGAGAAUGGAUCAGAAUGAAGCUGGAAUCCGUUUUUGCCCUUCAGUCUCGUGAUCCAAGCCUUUUCUGGAGUCAAUGUGAAAUGUAAUUGCUCUUUUGACCUCUAUCUUCUCUCUCCCCAGGUCUGAGGAAGAGCUACACUGGUUGAUUAUUGCACGAAUGAAAGGCACUCUGACCUUGUCGACCGAACGCCUUGCAGCUUUCAAUGUUGCCCAUUAUACCGCAAGCAGGCAACUCCUGGAGAGCUGCUCCCUGGGCAACCUGCCAGAAAAGGCUCCGGCGGCAGCAGUUCAGACGCGGCCAAACAGCUCAGGCAGCAAAGGAAACAGCUUCCCCAGAGGAAUCCUGCCCAGCAGCCUGAGAGCAGGACCAGCGCCAUUCUUCAGCUUCAACCUCAUGUGCCUGCCUGGAGGUAUCUUUAAAAGGAUGGAGAAAGGCUUCUGGAAAAGAUUGUCGUCGGGCACCAGUGAAGGCUGCUCCAGUUCCUGGCGUAUCUAA